UCUUCCAAUGUCGUCGUCUUCUUCUUUUUCUUCCGAAGCAAAAUGGCCGUUCGACGUCUUCCUCAGCUUCAGAGGCGAGGACGUUCGUCACGGCUUCCUCGCCGACCUCCACAGGUGUCUGCUUCAUGACGGCAUCAACGCCUACAUUGACAGCGAGGACUUGAGGCGCGGGGACGAGAUCUCGCCCGCCCUCAUGAGGGCCAUCGAGGAGUCGCGAAUCGCGGUGCUCGUCUUCUCCGAGGACUACGCUUCGUCAAGGUGGUGCUUGGAUGAGCUGGUGAAGGUGAUGGAGUGUAGGAGGCUUAACGGACAGCAGGUGCUGCCCGUGUUCUACAGAGUGGAGCCGAGGGAGGUUCGAGGGCAGAGAGAGAGUUAUGGCAAGGCAUUGGCCAGGCACGAGGAGAAACUGGGAAAGGGUUCUGAGAGGGUGGAGAAAUGGAGGCAAGCCCUAAUCGAAGCGGCCAAUUUGUCCGGUUGGCAUUAUGACCAUGGAGAUGAGACUGAGUUCAUCGAGAAGAUCGUCAAAGAGAUCUCAGCUACAGUAGCACGAGUACCCUUGAGUGUUGCCAAGUAUCCCGUUGGUGUAGGUUGCCGGGUAGAAAAAGUAAUGUCGUUGUUGAGUAUGGGCUCGGAUGAUGUUCAGAUGAUAGGAAUAUGGGGAACUAGAGGCUUAGGGAAGACCACUAUUGCUAAAGAUGUCUAUAACAGUAUUGCAAGUCAGUUUGAUGGGUGCAGCUUUCUUGCAAAUGUUAGAGAAACUUCCAAUAGACCUGACGGCCUAGUUCAUUUGCAAAAAGCGCUGCUAUCUGAGACAUUAUGGAAAGAAAAUUUAGUGGUCUUAAGUGAGGACAAAGGUGCUAAUCUGAUACGAGAUAGACUUUGCUGCAGGAAGAUUCUUCUUGUGCUUGAUGACGUGGAUCAUGGGGACCAGUUAAAUGCAUUAGCUAGAGAAUGUGCAUGGUUUGGAAAAGGGAGCAGGAUCAUCAUUACCACAAGAGAUAAACAUGUACUAACUUCUCAUGGGAUAGAUUGGGUAUAUGAAGUUAAACCAUUAGAUCAAGAUGAAGCUUCUGAACUUCUGAGUUCAUAUGCUUUUUCAAGAAAUCAGACGAAAGACAUAAGCAUGGAUCUCAUAGAUAAUAUUUUGGGCUAUGCUAAUGGCCUUCCCUUGGCUAUUGUGGUCUUGGGUCCCUUUUUACGUGGUAGAAGUAGAGGGGAAUGGGAGAGCACAUUGGAAACACUUACUGAAAGUCCUAAUAAAGAUAUAAAUCGUGUCCUCAAGAUAAGUUUUGAUGCGCUGGACAACAAUCAGAAGGACAUUUUUCUUGACAUUGCCUGCUUCUUUAAGAGGAGAAAAAGGGAUUAUGUAACCAGAGUUCUUGAUGGUUGUGGUUUAAAGACUUUAAUUGGGAUGCAGACUCUAAUAGAGAGAUCCUUAGUAACAAUUGAGGAUGACAGCACAAUACAAAUGCAUGACUUGAUUGAGCAGAUGGGUCAGGAUAUCGUUAAAAAUGAGUGUCUAGAUGACCCUGGGAGACGGAGCAGAUUAUGGUGCUAUGAUGAUGUUUUUGAAAUAUUGUCGGAGGAUAUGGGAACCAAUGCUGUUAAAGGCAUAGUGCUGGACUUGCCAACACGAAAAAAGCUAGACAUUAGUCCCAGUGCUUUCACACACAUGAGGAGACUGAAAUUGCUCAUAAUUCUGAAUGCACAAAUCAGUGGAGGUCCCAUAUGUCUUCCUAAUGAUUUAAGGUGGCUUGAAUGGCCUGGAUGUCCUUUGUCCACUCCUGUAUAUGUUCCAAAGAAACUUGUUUGCUUUCACGUGCCUGACAGCCAGAUUAAGGAAUUUGGAAGGAACUUAAAGGAUUUUAGAAUGUUGAAGGACAUCAAUUUCAGUAAAUGCAAUUUCCUGACUCGUGUUCCUGACAUUUCGUGGGCUCCAAAUUUGGAGAGAUUGGAUCUUAGUUGGUGCGAAAGCUUGGUGGAGGUUGAUCAAUCUGUUGGAUAUCUUGACAAGUUAGAAUUUUUAUCAUUAGAUGCGUGCUCUAAUCUUAGUAUCUUUCCUAGCAUACUCAAGACAAAAUCUCUUCGCGAACUUGGUCUCUCUGAUUGCUCUAAACUCGAGAAGUUCUUUGAUAUUCCAGAAAAGAUAGAACAUCUAAAGGGACUUGAACUAGCAGGAACGGCUAUUAAAGAUCUCCCUGCAUCCAUUAAUAAUCUUGUCUCUGUAGAGUAUAUAAGUUUAUGGAAUUGCAAAAAUUUCGCAAGGCUUCCAUCUAGCAUUUAUAAAUUGCAAAAUCUGAGCUCUAUGGAUAUUAGAAAUUGCUCCAAUUUCAUCACAUUUCCAAAGAACUUGGAGGAUCCAACUGAUCUUGAUGGUGGCUUGGGAUUCCCAAAUCUAGACAGGCUAAAUCUUCAGGGUUGCAAUUUAUCAGGGUUAGAUUUCCUCGAGGGUUCUUCCAAUUUUCCCAAAUUGACGUACCUAAAUCUUGGAGGGAACAAGUUCACUCAUAUGCCGAGGUGCUUCCGCAAAUAUGAUAAUUUGACAAACUUGUAUCUGGAUAAUUGCAAGCAACUGCAAGAGAUUCCUCAGCUUCCAUCAAAUAUUGGGCACAUAAGCGCAAAUAAUUGCAGAUUUCUACAAAAACUCCCAGAUUUUUCGAGUCUCUCCAACUUCUCUGAAGUUGACUUCUCUUCUUGCUGUGGAUUAUCACGGAAAGGGUUCGAUCUGGCUGGUGUGUCAAUACUCAAGGUCAGUCUCUCUCUCUCUCUCUCACUCACUCACUCUCUCUCUCUCUCUCUCUCUCUCUCUCUCUCUCUCUCUCUCUCUCUCUCACUGAGACAGAGCAAAAUGAAGAAUGUCAACAACAGCAACACAAGACUCAUCCUCCUCCACCCUUACAUCCAGAAGCAAGGAAGCUCCAACCGCCUUCAUCUCCUUCUUGACCACCGUCUUCGUCGUCACCCUCAUUUACACCAGAGAGUAUUCCACAACCGCCGCCGCCUCCGCCGCCACCACCACCACCUUUCCCUCCACCACGACGGCCUAUAGCAACGCGCCUCUGCCAUCGACCGUCAUCAAAACCCUCCUUCACUACUCAUCCAAGUCCAACGACUCUUUCCGCAUGUCCUAUACCCCGAGCUCAAGCCCAUCUCGGACGUCCUGAGGAAAUGCUCCUCCCCUCGCAACUUCCUAGUGUUUGGCCUCACUCAUGAGACCCUCCUCUGGAAAGCCCUCAACCAUCACUCGCAAGCGAAGUACCGCAUGGAUGAAUUUCACUAUACCAUCGGCUGAUCGCCCCCGAAAAAAGUUUCUAUUUGAGCAUAAUGCCGAUGAGAGACAAUGUCAAGACAAAGCAGUUUCCCUGAAAUUGCCAGCUCUGUGCUGCAUACCUGACAAGAGCUCCCACAGGCCCAGUCCUUGAAAUUGGAUGGUGAUGGCUUAGUCAUAGAGUGAGAGUUUAGAGCUGCCAAAGCCAUUGAUAUCUGCGUGAGGAAGAUUAUCUCCUCCCGCCAGUGCUUGUCCCUUCGUACGAAGGAACCCCACUCUAUGACGUCCACCAGUCUAGUGAGGACUUCAGUUCUUCACAGGUUUACAGUUACCAACUCUUGACAGUACUUUAGUGGAAGAAUCUAAUCGAGCCUAACAAAUGGCAAGAGUGGCACAGAGCAUGGGAGGAAGUUUCUGUCUGUAUUUGGAAAUCUGUGAAGUUCCUGUUAUGUACCAUUUGAGAAGGUAAUCUUGUUCAUUUUGAUUUUUCAUUUUUUCUUUUCUCUGCAUUGCUAGAAAGGAUGAUCCCAGGGAUGAUUUUGUUUUUCUUAUGAAUUGGAAAUUAGAAUUGGAAAACUGAGGUUGAGUUG